rnacentral:tRNA from 1 species
GCCCCUCUAGCUUAGUGGUUUCAAAGCGCACGGCUCAUAACCGUCGAGAUGGUCAGGGUUCAAUUCCCCCGGGGGGCACCA